GACGAACGCUGGCGGCGUGCUUAACACAUGCAAGUCGAACGGAAAGGCCCUGCUUUUGUUGGGCGCUCGAUUGGCGAACGGGUGAGUAACACGUGAGUAACCUGCCCUUGACUGUGUGAUAACUUCUGGAAACUCGGGCUAAUACCCGGUAUGAUCUCCUGCUGCAUGUUGGUGGUUGGAAAGUUUCGGCUGUUGUGGAUGUACUCGCUGCUUAUCAGCUUGUUUGUGGGGUAGUGGCUUACCAAGGCUUUGACGGGUAGCCGGCCUGAGAGGGUGACCGGCCACAUUGGGACUGAGAUACGGACCAGAAUGCUACGGGAGGCAGCAGUGGGGAAUAUUGCACAAUGGGCGGAAGCCUGAUGCAGCAACGACGCGUGCGGGAUGACGGGCUUCGGGUUGUAAACAGCUUUCGAAUGUGACGAAGAGUGAGUGACGGUAAUGGGUAAAGAAGCAACGGCUAACUACGUG
rnacentral:rRNA from 1 species